CCUUUUUCUAUUCCUCUUUGUUCUAUUCACCAGAUUGAGAGUGUGUGAUUGUUUACCGCCUGUUGUUUUGCAGGUACUGACCUGUGUUGGAUUUCAGCUUUAUAAACUUGGCUUUUUAGUGGUUAAUUUUGCUACAUCGCGUGCUUAUUUUCCAUGCUUCUGUAUUCGGAAGACUGAAUAAAAGGAACAUGAUGAAAUACAAGUAGCCAAGUGCGUGGAAAUUGGCCUUCCAGAACUCAUCCUAAUGGUCGCGUUUUCUCAGGUAUUGUUUAAAUGGUCAUGAAUGAGGUGAUGUUGUACUUAUCAUGUUUGUUUCCUGGACAAUAUUUGCAUCAUGUUUUUCAUUCUAGAAAGGGUGUCUUUCGCCGGUUUUCUAUUCUUUUCACUGUUUCAAUCGUGUGACUCUACACAUGUAUCCUCGCAAUUAGUGGAACCUAAAAGAAUGAAGCGGCGGCUCGAUCUGAGCUGCUAUAUCUGAUUGUAUUUUAGUAAGACCCUGCAAUUUUAUCGACCAUGUAAAUUGAUUGCUUGAGGAAUGUGAGAUUGUGUCCUUAGUUUGUACAUCCAUGUUCUUGCACAGUCUUCAGAUUUCGGUCUUCUAUGCAUGUCUUCUCGAUUUUUCGAAAGCGAGACAUUUAUUUAUGCAGGUUUCUCCAUGCCAUCGGCAGCAGCCGUAAGCAUAGGGGCAGCGGUCAUGGUCGCCCGAGGAGCACAACUUCAUGGGGGCUGGUCCUGCUGCCGCCAAAGCAUAGUGGAGGAGGUCGAUGCAGGGUUGAGGAGGGGCAUGGGCUAAGAGUGGUGGAAGAAAGGAAGGAUGAUGUUUUGGGUGUGUACACAUGUAUAGCACUAGCAUUUUCAGAUGAUUGUGAAGCUUAUGGAAGAGGCAUAUCUGAAUGCUUGUUUUGUGCCUUUCUCGCUCUAAACAUGGUAACCCCUAUUCUUACAUACAAGAAGGUGCUCUUGAUUACUUCUUGGAAAAUGAUCGAUUGAUUAUUUUCUUAUGACACAUAUUAUAGUUUACAUGGAACUAAAAAGAACAUUGGUUUUCUGAGAAAAUAAGAUUAGGGAAGUCACACAUGUUGUUUAAAUCAAGUAAGGUAGCAUAUAUGUAGCUUUACUUGCUAUUUUUUCAUUUCUAGAGGUAAAGCAGAAACCUGAUACCAUGUACAGCUGUGCAAGUGUCUUG
rnacentral:lncRNA from 1 species